UACAGAGGCCCCAAGCGUUAGGCGGAAUCACUGGGCUUAAAGCGUGUGUAGGCGGGAUGGUAAGUACUUUGUGAAAUCCCACGGCUUUAACUGUGGAACUGCUUAGUAUACUGCCGUUCUUUGAGUCAUUUAGGGGCAGCCGGAACAGAUGGUGUAGUGGUGAAAUGCGUAGAUAUCGGGAGGAACACCAGUGGCGAAGGCGACUAUCUGGGCUGAAACUGACGCUGAGGCGCGAAGGCUAGGGGAGCAAACAGG
rnacentral:rRNA from 1 species